CGCCCUUCGGGUGAGCGGCGGACGGGUAAGUAACGCGUGGGAACGUGCCCUUCUCUACGGAAUAGCCUCUGGAAACGGAGAGUAAUACCGUAUACGCCCUUUGGGGGAAAGAUUUAUCGGAGAAGGAUCGGCCCGCGUUAGAUUAGGUAGUUGGUGGGGUAACGGCCUACCAAGCCUACGAUCUAUAGCUGGUUUUAGAGGAUGAUCAGCAACACUGGGACUGAGACACGGCCCAGACUCCUACGGGAGGCAGCAGUGGGGAAUCUUAGACAAUGGGGGCAACCCUGAUCUAGCCAUGCCGCGUGAGUGAUGAAGGCCUUACGGUCGUAAAGCUCUUUCGCCUGUGAUGAUAAUGACAGUAGCAGGUAAAGAAACCCCGGAUAACUCCGUGCCAGCAGCCGCGGUAAUACGGAGGGGGUUAGCGUUGUUCGGAAUUACUGGGCGUCAAGCGCGCGUAAGCGGAUUAGAAAGUUGGGGGUGAAAUCCCGGGGCUCAACCCCGGAACUGCCUCCAAAACUGCUAGUCUAGAGUUCGAGAGAGGUGAGUGGAAUUCCGAGUGUAGAGGUGAAAUUCGUAGAUCUUCGGAGGAACACCAGUGGCGAAGGCGGCUCCAUGGCUCGAUACUGACGCACAGGUGCGAAAGUGUGGGGAGCAAACAGGAUUUGAUACACUGGGUGGUCCACACCCGGAACCGAUUAAUUGCACUUCGCGGGAUAGAAACAAUACGGUGACCAC
rnacentral:rRNA from 1 species